CAGAGACAGAGAAAUGGGUUAUUUAACCACUGGUGAUAAUAAUGAAAAUGUCUUAGUUUUGUUAUUUUCAGGAGUAAAGCAGACUUGGACCGGCUCUCCACAGCAGCAGUCGGAAGAAAGUUAGAGGUUAACAUCUAUGGAUAAGUUAAGGCAAGUUUCUGGUUGAAUUGUUCACAGCAUGAUGUGUCCAGGAACCUGAAAAGCAAGCCCCAGCUCCUGGCUGAAGACCAGGAGGGCGGUAAUUUAAGGUGGGAAAUCAAAAUGUGGGUUAGUAACUCGGGGAAAAAGAAAACUGACUGCUUAACUGGAGAGUUGGGAAGAAGUCUGGGAGACUGUGAAGUCAUAGAUGCAAAAUAACAUAUACCCAUACACACACAAACAGAAAAUGCAUUAACCUUAUAAAGACAAGCUCCUGAAGCUUAAUGAACAGAUAUUGAUUAAAACCUGGCUAAGAACAUAAGCAUAUGCAAUGAAGAUCUGCUUGCUGCUUGUAUGAGUGAGAGAAUGGUGUGAAUGGUUAAUACAAUUGAUGGAAAGAUUUAAAAGAGAUGGAAAAAAAAAAAAACAAAAGAAAAGUGUUUAUAAGAGUGACUCAGGAGUGCUCUUGCACUGAUUGAUCAAAGUAAGUGAUUAGUAUAGAAAGAAAAUGAAAAUAAUUAAAUAAUGUGAUAAAGUUUAAACAUGUAUUUCUUUUGCCAAGUUAAAUUGUUGAGAUAUGGCUGAGUAUGGAAAAGUUUGAGAGCUUGUGUGAAUGUGGACAGAGGAGCUUGCUGUGUGUGUGUGAUUGAGGCCUUAAAGGAGGGGUAGAUUGUUCAGAGGUGCAAAUUUGAUUAGGAGGUUUAUAAAUUAGUGUUGACACAUUGUUGUAAGGUGUUAGGCUGAAUCUGAGUAUGGUAAAGUGCUUAACCGGGGUUAUUGUUGUGUACGAAACGGUGUAGCUUUGGCGAGGUUUUCGUGUGUUGAAUGGGUGAAAUUUAAGAUGGUUUAAGAUUUUUUGGGGCUGUUGUUUUUCAUUUUAAUAGAGGGAGUUUUGAUAAAUAUGGACAGGUCUAAAAGGGCCCAUAGUUUUUAUAACAGUGCACUUAGAAAAAACCUGUCAGGUGAUUUUGUUUUGUACUUUGAUGAGCUAACAAUCAGCUCUCUUUUUUCUCAUUUUUGCUCUAAGCAGGCCUGGAAGAGAGUGAACUGACGGCGCGGACAAAUUACCAAGGCACUCCGAACCACUUGUCUGAACACGGAGGCCAGUCCAGCCC
ensembl:lncRNA